GAUGAACGCUAGCGGCAGGCUUAAUACAUGCAAGUCGAACGGUAAGGUCUCUUCGGAGAUACACGAGUGGCGCACGGGUGAGGAACACGUACACAAUCUACCUUAUACUGGAGAAUACCCUUGGGAAACUGGGAUUAAUACUCCAUAGUCUUUAAUGAUCACAUGAGAAAUAAAGUAAAGCUCCGGCGGUAUAAGAUGAGUGUGCGUCCCAUUAGAUAGUUGGUGAGGUAACGGCUCACCAAGUCCGCGAUGGGUAGCUGGCGUGAGAGCGCGACCAGCCACACUGGCACUGAGACACGGGCCAGACUCCUACGGGAGGCAGCAGUAGGGAAUAUUGGUCAAUGGGCGAAAGCCUGAACCAGCCAUGCCGCGUGGAGGAUGACUGCCCUCUGGGUUGUAAACUCCUUUUAUACAGGAAGAAACCUUUGGAUUUACUCCGAAGCUGACGGUACUGUAUGAAUAAGCACCGGCUAACUCCGUG
rnacentral:rRNA from 1 species